ACACGAACCGUGCGAACGUUAUUCGGAAUUACUGGGCUUAAAGAGUGCGUAGGCGGCUUGUCAAGUUGGGUGUGAAAGCCCUCGGCUCAACCGAGGAAUUGCGCCCAAAACUGGCAAGCUUGAGGGAGAUAGAGGUAAGCGGAACUGAUGGUGGAGCGGUGAAAUGCGUUGAUAUUAUCAGGAACACCAGUGGCGAAGGCGGCUUACUGGGUCUCUUCUGACGCUGAGGCACGAAAGCUAGGGGAGCGAACGGGAUUAGAAACCCUAGUAGUCC
rnacentral:rRNA from 1 species